rnacentral:rRNA from 1 species
GACGAACGCUGGCGGCGUGCUUAACACAUGCAAGUCGAACGGUGAAGGACGGAGCUUGCUCUGUCAGGAUCAGUGGCGAACGGGUGAGUAACACGUGAGUAACCUGCCCCAGACUCUGGAAUAAGCGCUGGAAACGGCGUCUAAUACCGGAUACGAGACGGAGGGGCAUCUCUACCGUCUGGAAAGUUCUUCGGUCUGGGAUGGACUCGCGGCCUAUCAGCUUGUUGGUGAGGUAAUGGCUCACCAAGGCAACGACGGGUAGCCGGCCUGAGAGGGCGACCGGCCACACUGGGACUGAGACACGGCCCAGACUCCUACGGGAGGCAGCAGUGGGGAAUAUUGCACAAUGGGCGAAAGCCUGAUGCAGCGACGCCGCGUGAGGGAUGACGGCCUUCGGGUUGUAAACCUCUUUCAGCAGGGAAGAAGCGAAAGUGACGGUACCUGCAGAAGAAGCACCGGCUAACUACGUGCCAGCCGCCGCCGUAA